CAGUGUAUUUUAAAACAAUGAUAAAUGCUUCAAGCAAAAGCAAGUCAGCAUAUUCACUCUGCACAAAAGAAAAAUGAAAGACAAAUGGAAUAGUGGAACCAAUCACUGAGCGAUCCCGCAAAUUUGAAAAGUGCUCGAGUUACUGCUUCUUGUUUGAAUUACGUUGUCAUCUGAAAUGACAUCCUAACAGAGAAAGAAAAGUUACUGAAUGGAAUUUAUUAUCAUCAGCAUGGCUGGAAACCUUCAAAAGUGGGAUGAGUGUGCACUGUGGUACAGUGGAAUAAGCUGCCAUUCCGUCUUGGAGCACAGAGUUU